rnacentral:misc_RNA from 1 species
UAGCAUCAAGAACAUAGAAAUAAACUUAAAAUGAAAAGAAAAAAUUAUUGAGGGACCAUGACUGAAUUUUGGCCAGCAUGUGUAUGGGGGUUUUAUUGCAUGGUUUGAUUGAUUUGAAUGGGUAGAUGAACCUUAAGUAGUUAAAUGGUUAUGAUUAAAGACUUUGAAUUAGCUAAAUGCAACAAUUAGUGUGAAUUAGGGUUUUGGACAUUAGGGUUUAGAGACAAAAAUGUGAGAAACUUGUAAAUGAUGUCUUGGACCUAGUUUAAGGAAAGAUAUGGUCAAUUGUGACCUAAUGAGGUGUGUUAGGAGUGUUUGAAUCAAAAGCCAAUUUGGAUUGAGUGUGCAGCAUGACCAAGUUACCUUUAAGGGACCAAAAAUGAAAAUUUAGAAGUCCAAUUGGUAUGAGACCUAUUGGGAAUGAAAAUAGACACUAA